UUUGUAUGAGGAUUUGGUGUGGAAAGUAAAUAAAAUUGUUAUGUAUUUAUAGGGAAAACAUCCGUAAUUUUUUGGUAUUUUUUUUUUUAAAAAAUUGAAUUUUUUUCCAUUUUUUUCGCUUGUUGACGUCAGCACCUUUGGGCUUGAGCCCAGGCAGGAUCUGCCCUUGGGCUUGCCAAGGCUAGUGGGACCCAGGGCUUGCCCGGGGUGGAUUGGUAGCGUUGGAGGUCCAAACUUGGCGUGGGGGGGCCUGUUGCCCUGGCAGUCCUGCGCUGGACAUGCUCUUAAAGUUCUUCCAAGGCAGUGCCAUGUCC
rnacentral:lncRNA from 1 species